GACGAACGCUGGCGGCGUGCCUAAUACAUGCAAGUAGAACGCUGAAGGAGGAGCUUGCUUCUCCGGAUGAGUUGCGAACGGGUGAGUAACGCGUAGGUAACCUGCCUGGUAGCGGGGGAUAACUAUUGGAAACGAUAGCUAAUACCGCAUAAGAGUAGAUGUUGCAUGACAUUUGCUUAAAAGGUGCAAUUGCAUCACUACCAGAUGGACCUGCGUUGUAUUAGCUAGUUGGUGAGGUAACGGCUCACCAAGGCGACGAUACAUAGCCGACCUGAGAGGGGGAUCGGCCACACUGGGACUGAGACACGGCCCAGACUCCUACGGGAGGCAGCAGUAGGGAAUCUUCGGCAAGGGACGGAAGUCUGACCGAGCAACGCCGCGGGAGUGAAGAAGGUUGUCGGAUCGUAAAGCUCUGUUGUAAGAGAAGAACGAGUGUGAGAGUGGAAAGUUCACACUGUGACGGUAGCUUACCAGAAAGGGACGGCUAACUACGUG
rnacentral:rRNA from 1 species